GCGCAUAUGAAUACACCAUUUUAGCCAUAUCCAGAAAUCUAUACAAUUUAUAUAAUUUAAAAAUAUAAAAUCGAAUAUUAAGUCUACUUGCAUAAACAAAUUGUACCUUUAUUAAAUACUCCACAUUCCUAAUUUAUUUCAUAACAAAUUGGCAUCCAUAAAUAACCUCAUAACCAAGAUUAAUUAAGCUUGAAUAUCAUUUACCUCAUUAUCGAAGUACAUGACUAAAACACCAUAACAUAUAUAUACCAAACUCAUUUCACUUAUAUGCUUUAACUAAGUUCACCUAUGCCAAAUUACCAAAAUCAACAUAUCUAUCACUUGAUCAAAAGCAUAAAAACCAUGCUUAACAAAAUAAAUAAGCCAUUUUCGCAUGGCUCAUAUUUACAACCCAAAAAUCAAACAUAUUAACUAGACUAUACAUGCCAUAAGUUUAAAUUCAAACUUAGUAUAAUACCGAAAAUAGUCGAUAGUGUGAUAGACUUCUCUGACGAUUCUCGUGCGCUUAACCAACUUCCAAAUCUAUAAAAUUGAAAGCAAUUACACACAGUAAGCUAUUAAAGCUUAGUAAGUCAUAAGCAAAUAAACAUUUAAUCAUUUACGUAAAUUAAGCUAGAAAAUUAGUAAUAAAUCAUUAUAAUUUCACAUAUAAUUCAAUUUAUCAACUUAUAUAUCAAAACUUAUAUAAUUUGUAAUAACUUCCCUUUUUACCGAAUAAUCAAUUGAACAUUAAUAUAACCAAUCAUCACUUUCCUCAAUGCACAUAUACAUCAAAGGUCGAAUACAUAUAUAUUCAAAUAUGCAAUCACAUAAUUCAUAUUUCACAUAACUUCAUAUCAUCAAUUCAAGUAUACAACUUACCUUAUUUUCAAAUAGGUAAUCAACUAUCACAUACCUGGUCACUUAGCCUGAUUUAUACAUUCAUACACAACUUAUCUUUGCCCGUUGAACCAUUCGGAAUUAAAAAGGAUACUCGGAUAGUCGGAAGACUCGUACAAUGCCAACGUCCCAGACGUGGUCUUACAUGUAAUCACAUAUCGAUGCCACUGUCCCAGACAGGGUCUUGCACAAAUCAAAUACGAUGCCAAUGUCCCAGACAUGGUCUUACACAUAAACACAAGUCGAUGCCAACGUCCUAGACGUGGUCUUACACGAAAACACAUAUCAAAAACCUUUGUCAUGACAUAUGUAUCCUAACUAUUCCUAAGGCUCAUACGGGAAUUUCGGACGUCGUAACUCAGUCGAAGCGAAUUCAUAAACAUAACUGCCAAGCUUGUACACAUUCGGCUAAUACAUAUAUUUAUUCACAUAUUCACUUCAGCACAUAUAAUUCACAUUUAAUUAAAAUUAACAACGUCUAUUUGCUUAUAAACUUACCUCGGAUAUCGACGGACGGAAUAGACGACUAUUCGAUUAUUUUUGUUUUUCCCCGAUCCAAAUCUGUUUUCUUUGGUUCAUGAUCUAAACAUAUUCAAAUUAAACUUAUUUAAACAUAAUUCCAUUCAAUUUAAUCCAAAAACACAUAAAUGAGAAAUUUACUAUUUUGCUCCUGACAUUUUACACUUUUUACAAUUUCGUCCCUAUUGCAUAAAACACAAAAUACACAAAAUUUCAUAAUACCCAUGCUUGGCCGAAUAUCACUCUAGCUCAUCUAAGUCCAUACAUUUAAUUUAUUUCACAUUUUAGUCCCUCAAAAAUUUAUUUUCACAAUUUAAUCCAAUUUACUCAAAUUCAUCAAAAAUCCAAAGACAAAACAUGAUAAUUUAACACAUAUAUUUAAUAUUUCAUCAUCAAACAACAAAAAUCUCAAACAUUCAUCAAUGGCACAUUUCAAAAUCACCAUCAAUUCACAAAAUUAAGGCAUGGGUUUUGAAGAACUCGAAGCAACGAUCUCAAAAACAUAAAAAUUAUCAAAAACUAAAGUAAAACAUACCUUGAAUCAAGCUAAAUAAUGCCGAAACCUAAAGAAAGCAUGGAUGAUUUCUUUCUUUUCUCCAUUCGGCCAACAAAGAUGAAAAAUAGCCAUCUUUUAUGUUUUAUUUUAUUAUAAC
rnacentral:lncRNA from 1 species